AAUAACCGCUAGUUCAAGCGCUUCAUCAUCUGUGAUUUUGUUUUUUAGAAAGGACCACUAAAUAGUAUAAUUUUCAGCAGUAUUUAUUUUUACUUUUUAACAGUAUUUAUUGAUGGAUUAUUAAAUAUUCAUAACUUACUUGACCCAUCUUCGUAUAAACAAAUUAAUGAAGCUAUUUAUUGCAGCGCUUAUCCGCUGAAUGAUCAAUAAGUUAUAUAUAAAUGCAUUGACACGAUACAUAAACGCGUCACAAUUUCAUACAUUUUGCAGAUAACAGUUGUUCUUAGUUGCUAUAAUUUUUAAUUAAAAAUGCCCAGAUACUACGCUAUCGACUGCGAGAUGGUUCAGAAUAACCUAAACCAGAGCAUGGUCGCCAGAGUAUCCCUUGUCGACGAAGAUUUAAAUAUAGUUAUGGACGAAUAUGUGAAACCUACUCAUCCUGUAUCAGACUACCGGACCUGGAUAUCUGGAAUACAGCCUGGUUAUGAACGGGACGCUAAACCGAAGAGUGAUGUUAUAAAUCGUUUGGGGAAUAAUGUCAAUGGGCACGUGCUUGUGGGGUUUGACAUUCAGAAAGACAUGGAUGCUUUGGGAAUAACUUACCCGAAUGUAAAGGACGUAGCGACAUACGGUCCUUUCCUAAAAUAUGGCCAAAAACAGUCGCUUAAGACUUUAGCCUAUCAAGAGCUUGGUAUAAACAUACAAAACGGAUCUCACGACUCCGUUGAAGAUGCGCGAGCUGUCAUGAGGAUCUACAAGAAACAUCGCUUUUAAGUGUCUUACUAAAUGCAAAUCUAACUUUUCAUUUUUAAGUACAAUUUAAGUAAUAUUUGGUAAAAUAUUCAGAAAAUAAAUGCAUUU